CCAGGUGUGACAUUCUCUGUACAGGUGUAUCCCAGGUGUCCCCAGCUGUGUCACUGCGCUGUCCCCGCACAGGUGGCCCUGUGCCUCACGGAGCUGUCCCUCCACAUGAACCUCCUCUCACAGCCAGGACAGAUGUGACAUUACAGGUGACAUUUCAGGUGACAUUACAGGUGUGACAUGACAGAUAUGACAUUACAGGUGUGACAUUCUCUGUACAGGUGUACCCAGGUGUGUCCCACAUGUAUCCAGGUGUGACAGUCUCUGUACAGCUGUAUCCCAGGUGUGUCCCAGGUGUAUCCCGUGUGUCCCAGGUGUACCCAGGUGUGUCAUUCUCUGUACAGGUGUAUCACAGGUGUGUCCCAGGUAUAUCCCAGCUGUACCCAGGUGUAUCCUGCUGUACCCAGGUGUAUCCCAGGUGUCAUUCCCUGUACAGGUGUAUCACAGGUAUGUCCCAGGUGUGUCCCAGGUGUAUCCAGGUGUAUCCCAGGUGUCCCCAGCUGUGUCACUGCGCUGUCCCCGCACAGGUGGCCCUGUGCCUCACGGAGCUGUCCCUGCACAUGAACCUCCUCUCACAGCCCGGACAGGUGUGACAUUCCAGGUGUGACAUUACAGGUGACAUUUCAGAUAUGACAUUACAGGUGUGACAUUCUUUGUACAGGUGUACCCAGUUCUAUCCCAGGUGUCCCAGGUGUAAUAUUCUCUGUACAGGUGUACCCAGGUGUACCCAGGUGUGUCCCAGCUGUACCCAGGUGUGUCCCAGGUUUGUCACUGCACACCUGUCCCCGCACAGGUGGCCCUGUGCCUCACAGAGCUGUCCCUCCACAUGAACCUCCUCUCACAGCCCGGACAGGUGUGACAUUACAGGUGUGACAUUCUCUGUACAGGUGUACCCAGGUGUGUCCCACAUGUAUCCAGGUGUGACAGUCUCUACAGCUGUAUCCCAGGUGUGUCCCAGGUGUACCCAGGUGUGUCAUUCUCUGUACAGGUGUACCACAGGUGUGUCCCAGGUAUAUCCCAGCUGUACCCAGGUGUUUCCUGCUGUACCCAGGUGUGUCCCAGGUGUCAUUCCCUGUACAGGUGUAUCACAGGUAUGUCCCAGGUGUGUCCCAGGUGUAUCCAGGUGUAUCCCAGGUGUAUCCAGGUAUGUCCCAGGUGUAAUAUUUUCUGUACAGGUGUACCCAGCUGUAUCCAGGUGUGUCCCAGCUGUACCCAGGUGUAUCCCAGGUGUCCCCAGCUGUGUCACU